AUCCUUCCAAUCAAUGAAGUGUAAUAACCUCAUUGACCAGAAGGAAAUCCUUCCAAUUGAUGAGGUGUAACAACCUCAUUGACCGGAAGGAAUUCCUUCCGGUCAAUGAGGCAUAAUAACUUCAUUGACUGGAAGGAA
rnacentral:miRNA from 1 species